UUCACUAAUAAGCCCUAAAAUCUCAACGAGCUUUUCCCUUCUUCCUUUCCUCACUCGCUGUGCAAACUGAUUUCCCUUCUUCAAAUUUCAACGUGCUUUUCUUCUUCUUCGUUUCCUCUCUCGCCGACGAACCCUAAGAGCUCUCAAAGAAAGUUGGUGCCACUCUGUCCACCUCUCGACAUCAUCUCCUGCUUGUGCUGCUCGUUCUUCUUUGAUUCCACGGUGGAGAUUGUGAGCGGUUUUUGAUUUCAUAGUGCUGAUACGUUUCUUCGAUCCUUGAUUCCACAGGUUGCGGGCGAGAAGUCCGCUGAAGAGGAUCUACCCCCUGGAUGGAUUAAAGAAGCAAAGAUUAGGAAGAACAGAAAUGGCAUAAGGAAAGAUUGGUUAUAUAUUGAUCCAGUGAGUGGAUAUGUAUUCUAUUCCAAGAAGGAUGUACUGCGAUAUAUUGAAUCUGGAGAUAUAGACAAAUGUGCUAUUAAACCAAGUAGAAGACAAAAUCAAGAAGAAGACAACUCAACUUGUCCUAGGCAGCGUAAUGAAGUAGAUUGCGGUUUUUACAUGUUGCAGUUUAUGAAAGAAAUUCUUCUUUCGAAUCAAAUAGAGAUUCCGUCCAAGUAUUUUGACGACUUCAAGUGUGCUACUUACUCAAAAUCUAAGUUGGAUGAACUUAAGGAGGAAUGGUGUCAAUUCAUGAUUGAGUUGAAAGUUGUAUAGGAUAUUGAAGGGUAAAAAGGUUAGCAGCUGGCAAGAAGAAAAAGUAGAUAUUUAGCAUCCUUUUGACUUGUGUAAAAAAUAACAAUGUUUUGGAUAAUGCAAUUGUUUUCAUUGAAUUGGAUGUAAUUUUGUUGUUGUUUAUUAAUAUAUUCUUAUAUAAAAAAUUCAAAGUUUAUUCGUAUAUAUGUAUUCUUAGCAUCUUAGCUCUGAAAAAUA